rnacentral:rRNA from 1 species
AGGACGAACGCUGGCGGCGUGCUUAACACAUGCAAGUCGAGCGGUAAGGCCCUUUCGGGGGUACACGAGCGGCGAACGGGUGAGUAACACGUGAGCAAUCUGCCCUUCACUUCGGGAUAAGCCUCGGAAACGGGGUCUAAUACCGGAUAUGACUGCGCCAUGCAUGUGGUGUGGUGGAAAGUUCUGGCGGUGAGGGAUGAGCUCGCGGCCUAUCAGCUUGUUGGUGGGGUAAUGGCCUACCAAGGCUUCGACGGGUAGCCGGCCUGAGAGGGUGACCGGCACACUGGGACUGAGACACGGCCCAGACUCCUACGGGAGCAGCGGUGGGAAUAUUGGACAAUGGGCGAAGGCCUGAUCCAGCAACGCCGCGUGAGGGAUGACGGCCU